rnacentral:rRNA from 1 species
AACGAACGCUGGCGGCAUGCCUAACACAUGCAAGUCGAACGAGACCUUCGGGUCUAGUGGCGCACGGGUGCGUAACGCGUGGGAACCUGCCCUUAGGUUCGGAAUAACUCCCCGAAAGGGGUGCUAAUACCGGAUAAUGUCCUCGGACCAAAGAUUUAUCGCCUUUGGAUGGGCCCGCGUUGGAUUAGCUAGUUGUUAGGGUAAAAGCCUACCAAGGCGACGAUCCAUAGCUGGUCUGAGAGGAUGAUCAGCCACACUGGGACUGAGACACGGCCCAGACUCCUACGGGAGGCAGCAGUGGGGAAUAUAGGACAAUGGGCGAAAGCCUGAUCCAGCACUGACGGGUGAGUGAUGAAGGCCUUAGGGUUGUAAAGCUCUUUUACCCGGGAUGAUAAUGACAGUACCGGGAGAAUAAGCACCGGCUAACUCCGUG